ACGCGUGGGAACGUGCCUUUCGGUUCGGAAUAAUCCAGGGAAACUUGGACUAAUACCGGAUACGCCCUUCGGGGGAAAGAUUUAUCGCUGAAAGAUCGGCCCGCGUCAGAUUAGCUAGUUGGUGGGGUAAUGGCCUACCAAGGCGACGAUCUGUAGCUGGUCUGAGAGGAUGAUCAGCCACACUGGAACUGAGACACGGUCCAGACUCCUACGGGAGGCAGCAGCGGGGAAUAUUGGACAAUGGGGGAAACCCUGAUCCAGCCAUGCCGCGUGAGUGAUGAAGGCCUUAGGGUUGUAAAGCUCUUUUGUGAGGGAAGAUGAUGACGGUACCUCAAGAAUAAGCACCGGCUAACUUCGUGCCAGCAGCCGCGGUAAUACGAAGGGUGCUAGCGUUGUUCGGAAUCACUGGGCGUAAAGCGCGCGUAGGCUGCUGUUCAAGUCAGAGGUGAAAGCCUGGAGCUCAACUCCAGAAUUGCCUUUGAAACUGUACAGCUGGAGUGUCGGAGGGGAUAGCGGAAUUGCUAAUGUAGAGGUGAAAUUCGUAGAUAUUAGUAGGAACACCGGUGGCGAAGGCGGCUAUCUGGACGACAACUGACGCUGAGGCGCGAAAGCGUGGGGAUCAAACAGGAUUAGAUACCCUGGUAGUCCACGCUGUAAACGAUGGAUGCUAGCCGUUGGGGGGUUACCCCUCAGUGGCGCAGCUAACGCGUUAAGCAUCCCGCCUGGGGAGUAGGGUCGCAAGAUUAAAACUCAAAGAAAUUGACGGGGACCCGCACAAGCGGUGGAACAUGUGGUUUAAUUCGAGGCAACGCGAAGAACCUUACCAGGACUCGACUUGCUCCUUAUGGAAUCCCGAAAAGGAUUCCUUCACAUCGGGUGGGGGAAGCACAGGUGCUGCAUGGCUGUCGUCAGCUCGUGUCGUGAGAUGUUGGGUUAAGUCCCGCAACGAGCGCAACCCUCGUCCUCUGUUGCUACCAGGUAAUGCUGAGCACUCUGAGGAAACUGCCGGUGAUAAGCCGGAGGAAGGUGGGGAUGACGUCAAGUCCUCAUGGCCCUUACGUCCUGGGCUACACACGUGUUACAAUGGCGGUGACAAUGGGCAGCGAAAGCGCAAGCUGGAGCGAAUCCCCAAAAGCCGCCUCAGUUCGGAUCGUACUCUGCAACUCGAGUACGNGAAGCUGGAAUCGCUAGUAAUCGUGGAUCAGAACGCCACGGUGAAUACGUUCCCGGGUCUUGUACACACCGCCCG
rnacentral:rRNA from 1 species